GUCUAUGGCCCUACUACCCUGAACUUGCCUGAUCCCAUCUGAUCUCAAAGCUAAGCAGGGUCGGGCCUGGUUGGUACUUGCAUGGGAGGAAAUAGGAAUUCAUAAAAC
ensembl:rRNA 5S_rRNA 5S ribosomal RNA